rnacentral:lncRNA from 1 species
GAAUGUAAUGAGGGUUUUCGAUAUUUUUUCUGCCGCCAGGCGGCGCUUCGUAUGCGUCAGGUCCAAACAGCUGUCAAAUAGUAUGGAAUUGUAGGUGCCGAACUUAUUGUUUAUUGAAAUUCUGUUAUAUUGGAAGUGUUAUUGAUUUUAUUAUGGACUACGGUCAGAAUAAGGUUUCCGAACUAAAAAUUG